rnacentral:lncRNA from 1 species
AACAACGGUAGUCUGUUUGUCAACUCCAAGAACAAUGGCAGCCACAAGUGUAAGUACAAAACCCAAAAACCUCAAACCAAAAUCUGUCCAUUUUAUGCUUUGCUUAUUAGCCACCCCCACUACUUCUUUUCCACCACCUCCAUUCAUAAUGCUCCCUCUCUCUAUAAUAUUUCUAUUUCAAACAAGGAAAAAUAGGUUGCUGUGGUGCUAUUGGAAAGUGAAGAAGAAGGGUUUAUAUAGAAAUACAGAAAGUCAAGUGGACAAUAAAAGAAGGGAUUCGCGGUAUAUGUUUGAACAGAGACGUCGACGUGUGAAACACAAAACUUUGAUUUUUGGCUUUGUUAGGUUACUAUUGAGGAGUUGUUGGGGGGUGGGAUCCAGUGGAUAUUUGGCAAAAUCACAAAUUAUACCAAACGGAAGUAUGCAAGUAUUAUCAUACAUCAUAGUGAGAUUUAUUUAAAGUUGUAAUUUAACGCAUUCUUUUUUAUAUAUACUUACACUAUAUAUACGAGUAGCUUUAUAAAAAAAAUGCAAAGGCUAUUUUGACCCAAAAAAACUUACUGGAACCUCUUUCAAAUCACUAAUUUCUACCCGACAGAAGGCAGAUUUAAAAUUUUUAUAAUUUCUACUCCAGAAGGUAGAUCUAAGGAAAAAGAAUAUUAAAUGAAAGUUAAUUCCUACUUCUUUAGGUAAACAGCUAAGCACUUAACCAAGUGCGCACUAUUUAGGCUCUUUAGAGCAAGAAUGCCAACAGAUAAAUAUAUACAUAAAAUACUUAGUUUGACGAAAAGAUCAUGAGUUCACGUGUUUCAUAAAAUAAACUAUAAAUCCUCUUUCGGAGGUGCCAACGAAGUAAGAAGAGGGGGUAUAUAUAUAUAUAUAUAUAUAUAUAUAUAUAUAUAUAUUUGGAUUUAAAUUUAAAACAUGAUACUACUUGUAGUUAUAAUAGUUUAUUUAUUUGGUUAUUUUUCUAUAUAUAUAUAUAUGAAAGCUAAUAAAUUUACUCCGUGUAGAUCUAGGAAAGUGACGGGUGAGGUACGUGUAUGAAUAUAUAUAGCUUGGAAAGAAGACAAAUGAAGUGGGAAUACAGGUAUUAAGAUAUGGCGUUUACAUUUAUUGGUGAGUUAUUACAAGACAUUUUUGACUCUUCUAACUUAGAUCUUUAAUUUGACAACUGGAAUGGUCUCCAUUGCAUGUCUGUACUAAUAAUAUUUUAUGUUAUAUGAAUAAAUAUGAUUAUUUUAACUUUUCUCUUCAUAUUCAGCAGUAACGUCGUAUUAAUUACGUGAGCGGUUUUGCUUGACAUAAUAAAUGAUUUUCCUUUCCGUUAUUACUUUGAGUUAAAUAUAAUAAAGAGGAAACACCAACUUUGAAUCUUUGAUUAAGAGUAUGGACCAAAAUACUUUGAUGCUUAUAGCUAUUUUUAGAAGAAGGAUGAACGUCUCAAUUAGAUUUUAUACGUGAC